rnacentral:rRNA from 1 species
GAUGAACGCUGGCGGCGUGCCUAAUACAUGCAAGUCGAGCGAACAGAUGAGGAGCUUGCUCCUCUGACGUUAGCGGCGGACGGGUGAGUAACACGUGGAUAACCUACCUAUAAGACUGGGAUAAAUUCGGGAAACCGGAUCUAAUACCGGAUAAUAUAUUGAACCGCAUGGUUCAAUAGUGAAAGACGGUUUUGCUUUCACUUAUAGAUGGAUCCGCGCCGCAUUAGCUAGUUGGUAAGGUAACGGCUUACCAAGGCAACGAUGCGUAGCCGACCUGAGAGGGUGAUCGGCCACACUGGAACUGAGACACGGUCCAGACUCCUACGGGAGGCAGCAGUAGGGAAUCUUCCGCAAUGGGCGAAAGCCUGACGGAGCAACGCCGCGUGAGUGAUGAAGGUCUUCGGAUCGUAAAACUCUGUUAUUAGGGAAGAACAAAUGUGUAAGUAACUAUGCACGUCUUGAAGGUACCUAAUCAGAAAGCCACGGCUAACUACGUG